AGAUUAGAGUUUGAUCCUGGCUCAGAAUCAACGCUGGCGGCGUGCCUCAGACAUGCAAGUCGAACGCGAAAGCUCCCUUCGGGGAGCAAGUAGAGUGGCGCACGGGUGAGUAACACGUAGGUAAUCUACCUUUGGAUGGGGAAUAACAAUCGGAAACGGUUGCUAAUACCGCAUAAUGCAGCGGCACCUAAUGGUGACAGUUGUUAAAGCGGGGGAUCGCAAGACCUCGCGUCUGAAGAGGAGCCUGCGGCAGAUUAGCUAGUUGGUAAGGUAACGGCUUACCAAGGCGAUGAUCUGUAGCCGGCCUGAGAGGGUGACCGGCCACACUGGGACUGAGACACGGCCCAGACUCCUACGGGAGGCAGCAAUCGGAUC
rnacentral:rRNA from 1 species